AUCAUCAGCACCAAUCUGCACAGGGCUCCGCGCGGACCUCCUCCGAGCCACGCAUUGGUUCCACUCUCCUGAGCGACACCAGGAGACUUUCCUGUUUGGAAGGCUCCACUCCGAGGGGAGUUGGAGCCUGCCCCUCGCUCACCCCUCUCCGGAGCACAGCAGUGCGCGCUGCUGUCCGUGCACAGAUGCGGCAGAUCUGCAGCCCACAGGGAGCGCUCAGGCAUUUACGUCUGUACCCCAGUGCCCCAUUCUGCCAUUGGGAGCUUGGUAGCAAACCGGUUUUCUUCCCAGGGGGAAGAUGAGCAUGUUAAGUUUUCUUUUUUUUCUGUUCACCAAAGAUGCAAAGAGAAUUGGCCAGUUCAUCACGAUUAGAGCAUUCUGAAACUCUACAAUGCAAGAAACCCAGACAAUUGCUAUGAUUACAGCAUAGGGAGGGAUAUAAUCAGAUUAGAUCUCAUGGAGGUGGAUAUCUGCUGAAGUCAUCAGAAAUCUUUGAGAGGAGAAGCCCAUGGAGGGAGGGAUACCUAUGGCUUUCAGCCUGCUUUCCUUGCUUUUGCUUUAUGUGAUCCAGUUUGCCCCUUGUGGAAUGACAGUUUGUGUGGACAGUAUUUCUGGGUGGGAAGCAUCUGAGAAUCUUACCAUACAUGCACAUCUACCUUAAACAGGCCUGCAGCCCUGCCCAGAGUGCCUUCUGAGAGUUGAGAGGUGCCCCCCUGAACCAUGCUCUGCACCUGGAGGAGCUACGACAGAAGGGACUGGGAAGAGGCUAUCUGUCCCUGGUGGAUUCUGGCUCAAUGUGUUCAGUGGGUGAGAUCAGUGGGUACUCACAGAGACUAUUUCAGUCACUCCUCACCAGAGUCUUGCCUCAAAGACAUUGCUCUCUGGGAUUCCUUGGCUGGGACAAAAGGACAAUGGAUGCCAGCUGACAGAAUGCCACACCGCCAAGGUCUGUGUACUGCAAAAUCCAUGCAGUUUCUAUUAAGCAACCAAGUUAUUUGGCUCUAAACCCCUCCCUGUCUCGAAAACAGACCUGUUUGCUUUUAAGGAAGUACUACAGAAUAAUUGAUUACUGCUCUCCUUAUGAACUUUAUGGGUCCAGUGGAAAAUAUAAGAUGAUAGAUAAUAUUAUUGCCCGAUCCUUACUAAGUUUCUACUUCAUAUAAAGUCCUUUUUUCAAGCCAGAGGAUAAGAAAACUAUGAUUCUUCCUGUCUGGCAAAGGCCUCCAAUACAUUUGGAGAUACCAGCAUAUUUGUGAAUAUAUAAAAAAGAUAAUAAGACCUAUUCACUCUAGGUAUUAAAGUCAAAUUCUGCAGAACCCGUAGUUACAAGUGCGUCAUUCACAAGCAAGCUGAUGUGUGAAGUCUCAGAACAAUGACAGGAUCCCAUGAAAGUCCACAGGCACAAGAGGAGAAUGCUCUGGAAAACAUGGCUGGGCUGGAGUGGGCUGGAGGGACCCACGCCAUGGCAAUGAGCCUGUCUGGUCUGGGAGAGGAGGCAGCAGACUUGCAUGGGAACUCUCUAGGGCAAAGCUGAGAUGAGCUGGGGGAGAACAGGGGAGACAGUGAGAAAGACCUGGACUCCAAAGGGAUGAUUCCCAAAUUGCUGCCAGAAAAAAGUUAACUUGUUUUUGAGCUGGGGAGGACUCUGAAGCAGGGGGCUGAUUUAUAGAAUUGAAUCUGGGAUAGACUGAGGCACGCUUACCUGCCAGUGGGCCUGGCCAGUGUCUGACACAUUCUGGAACUGAGUGGGAGCAGUGGAAGAGGGAAAGAAGGGGGCUAUGUGUGAAACAGGAGAAUCAGCAGAACUUGAGGACUGAGGACAUACACAUGAUAGAUAUCAUGCAAGCAUGGUAUUGAAAUCCAUGAACCAGGAACUCUAUUAUAGCCUGUAUUUACCUUCUCAACAAACCAGUGAAGUAGGUGCUAGGAUGCAGUGUGCAGAGGGAGAAACCACGCUCCCAGAGUUUAGAUAGCUUCUGCAGUGCUGCGAGCUGCUCCUGUGCAGUGGAGUUGGGGCUAGGCCUGCCUGAUGCAGAUGAGGCAGAGGAGAGGCACUGUAGCUGGGGAGGAGCAGCCCCUACCCAAGGGGCUCAGCAGGCUCUUCAGACACCAACCAAGCACUAAGCACCUGGAGAACACAGAGAAGCACUCAGCACAGCCCUGCACCACACUAGCAGGAAAGAGAGACACACGUGAUGCCAGUCAGCAUUCCAUCUUUGUCACAAACACUUGAGAUAAUCAAUCUAUAAAGGGGAAAGGCUUAUUUUGGCUGUUUUGGAGGCACCCAUCCAUGAUCAGUGCAUACACUGCCUUCAGGCUUCCGAGGAGGCACAGAAUGGCAGGAAGGGUGGGGAAAAACCACACUCUUCCGGUGGGAAAUUAAGACAGGAAGAAGAAGAGGCUGGAGUCCCAGAUGGCAGGCCCCAACUCUCAAACAUGCCCCACCUCUCACUAGCUCAUAUUGAGGACCAAGCCUUGAACACAGGGACCUUGGGGGACACAUACGAUCCAAGCUACAGCACGGUGCCACUCAGAAAACUGACAAGGACAGGAACAGAUGUCUUUAUGUGGACUCUGUCAAAAUCUUAGGUGCUCUGUGGUGUUUUCUCUUAAUUUUUAUUGUACUCUUAAUUCUAGUCCAUUCCACAGAUGAAGAAACAGACCAGGUUACAGAAAGUUCCAAAUAUACUUCAAAUAUUAUUCAAAGUUUACAUUGUUUUACUGUUCUCUGUUUUGGGAUAUUCCAUAAAAUAACAGCGCUUAAGAUGAUCAUCUCUCUUUAGGGAGAUGAAACCCUGGGUUUGAAGCUUGCCUUGUCACUCACCUGCUAUGCGACUUGUUUUAAAAUACUUGUGGUUUAAAAAUGUACAUUUAGUCUACCAGCCUCUUUCCUAAGCCACAUGCAGGCACACACACCAGGCACACAAUCACACGUACCCUGCACCUUUUAAUUAAACCCACACUUAGCAAACAUCAAUGUAUAUCCUGAUAUAACUUGUGUUUUUUAAAAUUUUGUGUGCUGGAUAAACUCUUUUGUAAGGAAACUUAUAAAUAUGUAUUUUCACAAUCAAUUCUUACAGGUCUAUUAUAUGAUUACAACAUAUGUCUCUUUUAUUUAAAAAAAGAAGAAAUGUAUAAAUGCAUGUUUAAUCAAUAGAUGGCACCAACUCUGAACAGAGAUAUUACAGUCUACUGGUUCUAUUUAAACAUCUUAAAAUAUACAAAUACAAAUAAAAAUGCUUCAAUGCAUAUUUACUAGGGGAACAAUUCUUUGCUCUGGAGUAAAUAUUAUGCAGUUUUAUACCCUCUGUGAAUCUUCUUUUUUUCUUCCUCCAAAUCAAACAAAAUCAUCGAAACUUCAUUCAAGCAGCAAUAAGGUAGGGAGACAGACCAACCAAAAUGGGGCAGUUGUGUGAGGGGCAGAUUUUCACACAUUUUCUCCUGUGAGGCUCCUUUGCUUUGAACAGGAAUGUGAACAGCAGAACCAGCAGAACAAGCAGUGACCAACUUCCUAGAGCUGACAGAAAGAGUGGGACCAGGAUGGGCCUUCACCUUCAGAUUCUGAAAACCAGAAUCUGGGCAUUUCUUUUAUUUAUUUAUUUAUUCAUUUGAUACCAGUGGUUGAACUGGGGACCUUGCACUUUUGAGGCAGGCAGCAGAACCACUGAGCUUAAUCCCUGGCCCACUUUUUUCUUUUUUAUACAGAAGACCACACUAUGGAAGAUAUAACUUCUUGUUAUUUCAUGUAUUCAUUCAUUCAUGAAAUAAAUAUGCUCAUGUAUCUACUAUGAGCCAAAUACUUAUCCACUAUGUGUGAUAUACAAAAGAUGUGAUAAAACUAGCUAAGACUACUCUCAUCCAUCUGAAAUCCAUGGAGUAGUAGAGGAUACAAACAUUAAACUAUUAAUUAUAAUCAUUGAUUACAACUGUGACAAGUGAUUGUAAAGAAACACAUCAGCUCAUAGCAAUUUCCCAAAACUAAUGUAAUUACUGUGCAUUACGACAUGUACCAAUUAAAUAAAAAAUGAAAAUAGAUAAAAUGAAAAUGUACAGAAAUAUCAGUUCACUGGAGAUCACAAAAUAAAGAUAAGAUACAUAGGGAAGGGAGGCAUGGCUUGCAUUUGGAAAUUGCCCCAGGGAGUAACUUCUAAUCUGGAGUCCCAGAAGGAGAUGCCAAGAGGCCAGAAGAAAGAGAUUGUGCCUGGCACAAAGGAGAGCCUGUGCACAAGCCCCAGGGCAUGAACUCAACUUGCUGGUUAGACACUGAAGGCUCCUCGUGCAAUUCACACUCAUACAACCUUUGACUGAAAUCAACUCUGCGCUAAAUAGUGUUAACAACAAUAGAUCGGUGCAUGAGGAGCCUGGCUGAGGGACAAGGAAGGAUGGAUUUUAGAUAUUGUAACACUAGGGUGGUUUGUUUUAUUUUGCCUGUAAAAAAUAAAAAGGAAGAUGCUAACAUGCUACAGAUUAAAAUCUGACUACCUCUUCGGCUAUAAAUAUUCGAAAAAGUCCUGGGCCUCCUGUGCGGGAAGUGAACCCCUGAGCACAGUCUGAAGAGUGUGGGGUGCAUGUUAGAGCCUUUAAACAACAACGGUGUGGUUUAGCUCAAAUAGGGCAUUUAUUUGAUGACCAGGGGAGGAGUAGAAGAGAAGGCCUCUCUUCUGAAGUCCCUAGACUUGCUCACAAUGAUUUGGAUGUCUUACAUUUACAGCAGGUCUCCAUCUACUUCUGAUACUUCCCCAAACUUUUAGUAUGUUCACAAAUAUUUCAGUCAUGCCAGUGAUGGUCUUAAGAAGCACCAAUUAUGAAUCACCCACGACCUGCAGGUUCCCUGUGAGAUGAUGAAGAUGUAUCAUAUCUACUCGUCACACCAGUAUGACAACAUGCAAACGUUUACAGACUUUUAGACUUGGACUUCCCACAGCCAGCAACAAACAGCUCUGAGAGUCACUCAGAGAUGAAUGAAUGAUGCCAAAGACCAAAUUAUCUCCUUCCUACCUCAAAGGGCUUUGAUGCGCUUCCAUGAAGCCAUAGCAAGAUUAGCUACAUGAAGGUCAG